GAGAGAGAGGAGAGAGGAGAGAGAGAGAGAGAGAGAGAGAGAGAGAGAGAGAGAGAGAGAGAGAGAGAGAGAGAGAGAGAGACACGAGUGGCCAGGCCCAGCCGCAGCCGCAGCAGCAGCCGCCGCGGCGGCACGGACGAGCCAGACACAAAGAGAGGGGCCGUUUGCGGGGUGGGGUGGGGGGUUCGCUAUGUCGGAUGACGAUUCGAGGGCCAGCACCAGCUCCUCCUCAUCUUCGUCCUCCAACCAGCAAACCGAGAAGGAAACCAACACCCCCAAGAAGAAGGAGAGUAAAGUCAGCAUGAGCAAAAACUCCAAGCUGCUCUCCACCAGCGCCAAGAGGAUUCAGAAGGAGCUGGCGGACAUCACUCUGGACCCUCCACCCAACUGCAGGUGAGCUGUCCCCUCUGCAGUCCCCACCUGUCCCGGGACUCCCUGCGGUGCGGGAGACCUUCCCUCCCUGUGCGGUUCCCUGGUUUUGAUGGGCUAAGCUGAAAUUUAUCAGCCCGAGUGGUAAUGUCUUGAUGAACCUUUGACAAGCGCACUGGAGAAAAGAUUUGUUUGGAGUGUGCACUGUGCUGUUCGUGAAGGAAACUCGGAGUAAAUCUGUAGCAAGCACCCCCGCCUCCUGGCUCUGAUGCGUUAUUUAAGGGUGAGUGGCAGAACCAUUUAGGUACACGUUGGUGUAGAGAACUGUUUGCUGUAGCCAUCUCUUAGCCAAGCCCUGCUAAGCUAAUGGAACAGAGAAUUAAACACUGGAUCAGCAAACUUACUACACUGAUUGUAAUUUUGUGUUGGACUUUUGGCAGAGCAAUUCCGGAAAUAAUUUGUGGCUUUGAUAAAAGGAUUUUGUUUUAAAUUAUAGAUUUAAACUCUCACAAAGUGGUGUUUUUCCUUGAUAUUGCUUCAUUCAGACUGUAAAUAUAUGUGUGUGUGUUUCAGUUUCAAAACAACUUGAAACCACCUUUGAAAAGGUUUGUUGGUCACUCUUAGACUAGCAUUUUGCUACUGUUGAGGCAGGGUGGAAAGAGUUGGUGACAUUAAUCCAUCAGCAGUGAUUCAUGAGCAGGGACUCUCAUUGUUCACUUCUAUAACCUCCAUAGCUUCAAAGUGGAAUGUAGGGUUUAACUUCUGAGGAUCACCACUGGAAUUGCCUGUGAGCUUUCUUCAGUGUUCUGAACUUGUAGGUGAGGGUAGAAGUUACAAGAACUAUUCAGUGGCCAUACGUAGAAUUUAAGACAAAUAUGUGAAAGUGUUCAGGUUGGAAGCUAUAUGGACUAUUUUGCUUAUUAAUACUAAACUUUCUACGCUGUGAUUAGCGGAUUGAACAUGAGCUUUUGUAUUGAUAUUUUGACUACAUGUGUUCUUAAUGCUGAUCAGGUGUGCGAUGCUCUUUGGUGGAAUUUUGUCCUGUUUUGUGAGGAGAGUCUUUUUGAGUUCAGAAUGCUCUUAAGUUGAGUUUAUGAUGGAACCACUUAAUCAUUCUUGAAGAGUUCCCUCAUGGCUUAUAAAGAUCUUUUCAGAUGGUUGAGAAAGUGGGGGAGUAUCAGCAAUUGAUGGACUUUGCUUUCAGUCCCUUGCUGUUGGUGGAAUCCGUAGACAUUCCCGGGUGGAGCUGUGCCUCUCCUCUGUGUGUCUCCUGUGGUUCAGCAGCUCUCGCUGGUCAAAUUAUAAGGCAUAGCUUCAAAUUAGUCAUUUAUUAAAACAUACAAUGAGUGCUAUCACAUUUAAAAUUGUAAACAGUUAAAGAUUUUCAUUUUUAAAAAUAGAGUAAGUACCCUUGAGUUCCACAGCAUUUUAGCUGAGUUCAUAGCUGAGACAUUUGUGAUUCUGAGGCAUGUAGAACGUUUGUAUCUUUGGAACACCCACCUUAUCACCCCUUUUAGGUAAACCUUUAAGCAUUACCUGUGGUCACAGGGAAACCCUAAUUUGAAUGGCUAUUGGGUGAUGAGGAGACAAAC